UACGUAGGGGGCAAGCGUUGUCCGGAAUCAUUGGGCGUAAAGAGCGUGUAGGCGGUUCGAUAAGUCGGCUGUGAAAGUCCAGGGCUCAACCCUGGGAUGCCGGUCGAUACUGCCGGACUAGAGUUCGGAAGAGGCGAGUGGAAUUCCCGGUGUAGCGGUGAAAUGCGCAGAUAUCGGGAGGAACACCUAUGGCGAAGGCAGCUCGCUGGGACGUUACUGACGCUGAGACGCGAAAGCGUGGGGAGCAAACAGG
rnacentral:rRNA from 1 species